ACGAACGCUGGCGGCGUGCUUAACACAUGCAAGUCGAACGGAAAGGCCCUGCUUUUGUGGGGUGCUCGAGUGGCGAACGGGUGAGUAACACGUGAGUAACCUGCCCUUGACUUUGGGAUAACUUCAGGAAACUGGGGCUAAUACCGGAUAGGAGCUCCUGCUGCAUGGUGGGGGUUGGAAAGUUUCGGCGGUUGGGGAUGGACUCGCGGCUUAUCAGCUUGUUGGUGGGGUAGUGGCUUACCAAGGCUUUGACGGGUAGCCGGCCUGAGAGGGUGACCGGCCACAUUGGGACUGAGAUACGGCCCAGACUCCUACGGGAGGCAGCAGUGGGGAAUAUUGCACAAUGGGCGGAAGCCUGAUGCAGCAACGCCGCGUGCGGGAUGACGGCCUUCGGGUUGUAAACCGCUUUCGCCUGUGACGAAGCAUGAGUGACGGUAAUGGGUAAAGAAGCACCGGCUAACUACGUG
rnacentral:rRNA from 1 species